rnacentral:rRNA from 1 species
GUGGGGAAUCUUCCGCAAUGGACGAAAGUCUGACGGAGCAACGCCGCGUGAGUGAUGAAGGUCUUCGGAUUGUAAAGCUCUGUUAAUCGGGACGAAAGAGCCUAGUGUGAAUAAUGCUAGGAAGUGACGGUACCGGAAUAGAAAGCCACGGCUAACUACGUGCCAGCAGCCGCGGUAAUACGUAGGUGGCAAGCGUUGUCCGGAAUUAUUGGGCGUAAAGCGCGCGCAGGCGGAUCUGCCAGUCUGUCUUAAAAGUUCGGGGCUUAACCCCGUGAUGGGAUGGAAACUACAGAUCUAGAGUAUCGGAGAGGAAAGUGGAAUUCCUAGUGUAGCGGUGAAAUGCGUAGAUAUUAGGAAGAACACCAGUGGCGAAGGCGACUUUCUGGACGACAACUGACGCUGAGGCGCGAAAGCGUGGGGAGCAAACAGGAUUAGAUACCCGUGUAGUCC